GUCAACUACCCCGCCCUGAAGGGCGGAGCUUGUGAGAGCAAGCUGGGUUGACCAGCCUCAGCCCGCCUGACCAGGACGGUCGAAAGGGGCUACGUAUGCAACAGGUCGCUAAGACUCACCGGCGGAUGCUUCCUCAGUCCGCCGCUCUGAAAGGUCGAGAUCAUGCAGGCGAAAGGUAAAGCGUCGAAGGUUUUGAUCGCCGCGCCAGCGGGAGCCGGUUGCACACAUUGGCGAGGGGAGCGUGUGGCGUCGUGAGACG
rnacentral:sRNA from 1 species